AUUGAACGCUGGCGGCAUGCUUUACACAUGCAAGUCGAACGGCAGCAUGAUGCAGUUUACUGUAUUGAUGGCGAGUGGCGAACGGGGGAGUAAUACAUCGGAACGUGCCCAUUAGAGGGGAAUAACUUAGCGAAAGUUAAGCUAAUACCGCAUAAUCCCUGAGGGGGAAAGCGGGGGACCGAAAGGCCUCGCGCUAAUGGAUCGGCCGAUGUCCGAUUAGUUUGUUGGUGGGGUAAAGGCCUACCAAGACUACGAUCGGUAGCUGGUCUGAGAGGAUGAUCAGCCACACUGGGACUGAGACACGGCCCAGACUCCUACGGGAGGCAGCAGUGGGGAAUUUUGGACAAUGGGGGGAACCCUGAUCCAGCAAUGCCGCGUGAGUGAAGAAGGCCUUAGGGUUGUAAAGCUCUUUUGUCAGGGAAGAAAAGGCGUAUUUUAAUAGAGUGCGUUGAUGACGGUACCUGAAGAAUAAGCACCGGCUAACUACGUGCCAGCAGCCGCGGUAAGAC
rnacentral:rRNA from 1 species